CAGGCCUAACACAUGCAAGUUCGCACGGUCAGCAAUGGCAGUGGCGGACGGGUGAGUAACACGUAGGAAUCUAUCCUGAGGUGGGGGACAACAGCGGGAAACUGCUGCUAAUACCGCAUGAUACCUGAGGGUCAAAGGCGCAAGUCGCCUUAGGAGGAGCCUGCGUCUGAUUAGCUUGUUGGUGGGGUAAAGGCCUACCAAGGCGACGAUCAGUAGCUGGUCUGAGAGGAUGAUCAGCCACAUUGGGACUGAGACACGGCCCAAACUCCUACGGGAGGCAGCAGUGGGGAAUAUUGGACAAUGGGGGAAACCCUGAUCCAGCAAUGCCGCGUGUGUGAAGAAGGUCUUCGGAUUGUAAAGCACUUUUGGCAGGGACGAUGAUGACGGUACCUGCAGAAUAAGCCCCGGCUAACUUCGUGCCAGCAGCCGCGGUAAUACGAAGGGGGCUAGCGUUGCUCGGAAUGACUGGGCGUAAAGGGCGCGUAGGCGGCGCGUACAGUCAGAAGUGAAAUUCCUGGGCUCAACCUGGGGACCGCUUUUGAUACGUGCGUGCUUGAGUGAGGAAGAGGGUUGUGGAAUUUCCAGUGUAGAGGUGAAAUUCGUAGAUAUUGGAAAGAACACCGGUGGCGAAGGCGGCAACCUGGUCCUUUACUGACGCUGAGGCGCGAAAGCGUGGGGAGCAAACAGGAUUAGAUACCCUGGUAGUCCACGCUGUAAACGAUGUGUGCUGGAUGUUGGGAAACUUAGUUUUUCAGUGUCGUAGCUAACGCGAUAAGCACACCGCCUGGGGGAGUACGGGCCGGCAAGGUUGAAAACUCAAAAGGAAUUGGACGGGGGGCCCCGCACAAAGCCGGGGGAGCAAUGUGGGUUUAAAUUCGAAAGCAACCCCGCAGAAACCUUACCCAGGAAUUUGGACAUGGGGGAAGGAACCCGGUUACAGAAGAUGGUACUUUUUCCCGGCAAGGGGACCUUUCCCGCACAAGG
rnacentral:rRNA from 1 species